UACGUAGGGUGCGAGCGUUGUCCGGAAUUAUUGGGCGUAAAGAGCUUGUAGGCGGUCUGUCGCGUCUGCUGUGAAAAUCCGGGGCUCAACCCCGGACUUGCAGUGGGUACGGGCAGACUAGAGUGUGGUAGGGGAGACUGGAAUUCUUGGUGUAGCGGUGAAAUGCGUAGAUAUCUGGAGGAACACCGGUGGCGAAGGCGGCAUCCUGGACCAACACUGACACUGAGGAGCGAAAGCCAGGGGAGCAAACGGG
rnacentral:rRNA from 1 species